rnacentral:tRNA from 1 species
GCGGGCGUAGUUCAAUGGUAGAACACAAGUUUUCCAAACUUGUUACGUGGGUUCGAUUCCCAUCGCCCGCUC